UAAUUCAAUAUUUUAUUAAUCCUAUAUUAAUAGGAAGUUAUUCACUUUUGCGGAAUAACACAGUGAAAUUUGCAUCACUGAUUUAUACUCACCAUUGCCAAAAAAUUUCUUAACAUUAAAAUUAGUCGAUAAUCAACUGCAUGUUGGACUUAGAGAUAAUAAUCUCGGACUUAGGGAUAAUGAGAUUUCUGAUAAUGAUCAUGCUGGAUAAUGAUCGUGCUGAAAUAAUAAUGAUCGUGAUAAUGAUAAUGAUAACGAUCAUAUUGGACUUACAGAUAAUGGUCUUGCAAGCUAAGAAUUACUGCCUCAUCGGUCUCAACUAACAGCUCUCGGCUUUCCGAUGUAUCGCAGGAUUAACCGUUUCAUUAAGAUACAAGUGCGAUUCAUUCUGAGCUUAUCAAGCAGUACAGAGUCAGUAGAUCACAAAUACUAGACAGAGAGCUUUCAACAGAGAUGGCUGACAACACAAAGGCAAUGAACAACAUUGCAAGUCUGAAAGUAGCCAGCAAGCAACUAACCACACUUUAACUGCUUCUACAACUACACCAAGGACGAAAUCUCUCACAAUGUUUUGUUGUUCAUAGUAAUGACAAUUAUUAUUUGUUGUGUAUGAAAAGAAUAAAUCGUUGUUUAU